rnacentral:rRNA from 1 species
AUCAGCAUGCCGCGGUGAAUACGUUCCCGGGCCUUGUACACACCGCCCGUCGCACCAUGAGAGUUGGGGAUACCCGAAGCCUGUGAGCUAACUUUUAGAGGCAGCAGUCGAAGGUAGAAUCAAUGAUUGGGGUGAAGUCGUAACAAGGUACC